rnacentral:rRNA from 1 species
UACGAAGGGGGCUAGCGUUGUUCGGAAUUACUGGGCGUAAAGCGUGCGCAGGCGGUUUCUCAAGUCAGGGGUGAAAGCCCAGAGCUCAACUCUGGAACUGCCUUUGAAACUGUGAAACUCGAGUACGGGAGAGGUGAGUGGAAUUCCCAGUGUAGAGGUGAAAUUCGUAGAUAUUGGGAAGAACACCGGUGGCGAAGGCGGCUCACUGGCCCGUUUCUGACGCUCAUGCACGACAGCGUGGGGAUCAAACAGG